UAGGGAAUCUUCGGCAAUGGGGGCAACCCUGACCGAGCAACGCCGCGUGGGUGAAGAAGGUUUUCGGAUCGUAAAGCUCUGUUGUAAGAGAAGAACGAGUGUGAGAGUGGAAAGUUCACACUGUGACGGUAACUUACCAGAAAGGGACGGCUAACUACGUGCCAGCAGCCGCGGUAAUACGUAGGUCCCGAGCGUUAUCCGGAUUUAUUGGGCGUAAAGCGAGCGCAGGCGGUUAGAUAAGUCUGAAGUUAAAGGCUGUGGCUUAACCAUAGUACGCUUUGGAAACUGUUUAACUUGAGUGCAGAAGGGGAGAGUGGAAUUCCAUGUGUAGCGGUGAAAUGCGUAGAUAUAUGGAGGAACACCGGUGGCGAAAGCGGCUCUCUGGUCUGUAACUGACGCUGAGGCUCGAAAGCGUGGGGAGCAAACAGGAUUAGAUACCCUGGUAGUCCACGCCGUAAACGAUGAGUGCUAGGUGUUGGGUCCUUUCCGGGACUCAGUGCCGCAGCUAACGCAUUAAGCACUCCGCCUGGGGAGUACGACCGCAAGGUUG
rnacentral:rRNA from 1 species